CUUAAUUUUACUUUUAUUCAAUAAUCUUAAAAUAAUUUAAUAAUUUUAAAAUAAAAAAAAUUAUAAUUUUUAAAAAGAAGAUAAACUUGACACAUGAUAGCAGAUCAAAAUUUUUCGAUCAGAUAUUAUUAGAAAGCUCCCCAUUAAAGUUUUUUUUAUGUUCUAUUAUUGUCGUAACGGAAUAUAGGGUGUUUCGCAAAGAGGAGAUUAAUAUAUGCUUGGACAUCUUAAAUUGUCAAUGGCCCAUAAAUUAUUACUCUUUUUUUUAAAAAAUAAUCAUAAUUAUUAUAUUUAUUUUUAAAUAAUUAAAAAAAAUUUCAUGAAAAGACUGAA
rnacentral:lncRNA from 1 species